GGUAGCGUGGCCGAGCGGUCUAAGGCGCUGGUUUAAGGCACCAGUCUCUCCGGAGGCGUGGGUUCGAAUCCCGCCGCUGCCA
rnacentral:tRNA from 1 species